UGGACCCAAUUUUUACAGAUAAUUAGUGACUCUAGUCUAAAAUUAUAGAUUUAGGUGUAGAUCAACCAAUUAACCUUUCUUAGUUAUUGUUUAUUGUGUCGUGUAGAAUGGUAGAAGCUAAGUCCAUCGUCAUUACUUUCCGAUUCUCAGAAUUGUUUAGAGAAAUUAUCGCCGGAAAUAAAGUACAAAUUUCUAUGUACUUCAUUUUAAAAGUAAGAUUAAGCAGAUCUUAUUUCCUAGGUUUCCAAUAAACUAUUCAUAAGGUGCUUGUCUGCUAAAU
rnacentral:lncRNA from 1 species